rnacentral:rRNA from 1 species
GAUGAACGCUGGCGGCGUGCCUAAUACAUGCAAGUCGAGCGAACAGACGAGGAGCUUGCUCCUCUGACGUUAGCGGCGGACGGGUGAGUAACACGUGGAUAACCUACCUAUAAGACUGGGAUAACUUCGGGAAACCGGAGCUAAUACCGGAUAAUAUAUUGAACCGCAUGGUUCAAUAGUGAAAGACGGUUUUGCUGUCACUUAUAGAUGGAUCCGCGCCGCAUUAGCUAGUUGGUAAGGUAACGGCUUACCAAGGCAACGAUGCGUAGCCGACCUGAUAGGGUGGUCGGCCACCCUGGAACUGAGACACGGUCGAGACUCCUACGGGAGGCAGCAGUAGGGAAUCUUACGCAAUGGACGAGAGCCUGACGGAGCAACGCCGCGUAAGUGAUGAAGGUCUUCGGAUCGUAGAACUCUGUUAUUAGGGAAGAACAAAUGUGUAAGUAACUAUGCACGUCUUGACGGUACCUGAUCAGAAAGCCACGGCUAACUACGUG